CGCCGGCAGCUUUCGGCGAAAUCAAAAUGGCCGUCAAGCACACAAUAAAAUCUUGCCCCGUGGGGGGUCCAGGAUAGGAGGCAUUACCCUGAUCCACCAUGGCAGAACUCGAGGCGACCCCUUUGCCCGAGGGCAACGGUCUUGGCCUGCAGGGCGUAGUGGCCGCCACUAAAAUUGAUGCUGGCAGCUGCGAUCCGCCCCGUGACCCCAACAACUUCGACGACGGUGACGACGACGACUUUGGACACUUUGCCACUGCCACCACAGCACCUCCAGCGUCUGCAGCAGACGUGAAAUACAUUCCAGCAGCAGAUGAUGCGGUCACCUCUGAGGUGGCCGUAACAUGUGAUCGCACCAACGGGACAUUGUUGCCCAAUCAGUGUUUAGGUGACAGUGAUGAUGACAGUGAGACUAGUCAGGACACCAGCGGGCUUGCACGCCGAGCUUCGGCAGAACUGCCAUUCUCCAGCGAGACCAGUGGCGUCAAGAGGGAGGACAGCUUUGAUGACUUUCAACAGGCGCAGGCUGUAGUGCCACCAUUCGAGGCGGCGCUUGCACCAGUGGAUGAAGGAAGUGAUUUCGCUAACUUUGAGCAAGCAUGUGACGCAGUGGGGGCAGAUAGUUGUGAGUGGGGUGACUCCAAAGGGGGUGGUUUUGCGGACUUUGCAGCUUUUGGGGAUGCGUCGAAGACUGCCGUGGAGGAUGGUGACUGGGCUGAUGAUGGUUGGAAGUCAUUUGCUGGUGCAGAGGACAGCGGAGCGACAUCGGUUGUGUUACCUGUAGUAUUGCCACAAGAAGAGACUGUCUCUAGUCAGCUGGUGUCGGGAGAGGGCUCAUUUGAAAACCUGCUCCAGAGUGCCUACGCCCUCGAAGAGUUGAGUCCGGUCUCUGCAGAGGAUAAAGACAUUGUGGCUCUCAGCUGUUGCGAGGUUCAUGUAAGGCUGUGGGAGCAGCUCCAGGAUUUGGACCGUGCCCCAUCACUGAAGUUCAGCUGGAAUGGCUCACAGUCAUGUCAGCACCUGCUGCAGAGCCUGUCCAUUGACUCUAGGAAUAUUCUGCGUAACCCGUCAGUGCCGCUGUUUGCCUCCCACCUGGGUCUGCUGGAGCCCCAGCGGGGCGGCACGGCCAGCCCCUCUGCGGAGGAGCCAGCGUCCUCCACGCCUGUCCCUCCUCCGGCCUGCUCAGAGAUAUGGCUUUUGCUGUCGAGACAUGCCCGGGUUCUGACGGCCCCUAUGCGCAGCAGGCCGGUGCGGACAGCGCCAUUCCUCCGGCUCAGUUUGACUGGACUUCGAGCGGCCUGGUAAACCCUUUGGAGCAGCCGGCUGCCUCGACGUUGCUGGACCUCGAAUUUCUUUCGAGCCUCUCGUCGGCCACCGUGGGCAGCAGUCCUCCAACGAGCAGUCUGGAGAAAGAAUUCCUGGGGUUGAGCGGUUCUGAGGAAGCACCAGUGUUGUCGCAGUCUUCUGCACCAUCAAAGCUACAGGAGCUGUUACGGAACAAUGUGUCCACCCUGUCGUCAACACGCCGUCGGCCCUCGCUGCUCAGCGGC
rnacentral:misc_RNA from 1 species